rnacentral:rRNA from 1 species
UUUUCAGAGAUGAGAAUGUGCCUUAGGGAACCGUGAGACAGGUGCUGCAUGGCUGUCGUCAGCUCGUGUUGUGAAAUGUUGGGUUAAGUCCCGCAACGAGCGCAACCCUUAUCCUUUGUUGCCAGCGGUCCGGCCGGGAACUCAAAGGAGACUGCCAGUGAUAAACUGGAGGAAGGUGGGGAUGACGUCAAGUCAUCAUGGCCCUUACGACCAGGGCUACACACGUGCUACAAUGGCGCAUACAAAGAGAAGCGACCUCGCGAGAGCAAGCGGACCUCAUAAAGUGCGUCGUAGUCCGGAUUGGAGUCUGCAACUCGACUCCAUGAAGUCGGAAUCGCUAGUAAUCGUGGAUCAGAAUGCCACGGUGAAUACGUUCCCGGGCCUUGUACACACCGCCCGUCACACCAUGGGAGUGGGUUGCAAAAGAAGUAGGUAGCUUAACCUUCGGGAGGGCGCUUACCACUUUGUGAUUCAUGACUGGGGUGAAGUCGUAACAAGGUAACCGUAGGGGAACCUGCGGUUGGAUCACCUCCUUACCUUAAAGAA